rnacentral:rRNA from 1 species
UACGGAGGGUGCUAGCGUUGUUCGGAAUUACUGGGCGUAAAGGGCGCGUAGGCGGCCGUUUGAGUCGGAUGUGAAAGCCCGGGGCUCAACCUCGGAACGGCAUUCGAUACGGGAUGGCUGGAGACCGGGAGAGGAGAGUGGAAUAGCAAGUGUAGAGGUGAAAUUCGUAGAUAUUGGCUGGAACACCGGUGGCGAAAGCGGCUCUCUGGCCCGGUUCUGACGCUGAGGCGCGAAAGCGUGGGGAGCAAACAGG